rnacentral:tRNA from 1 species
GUGGAUAUAGCUCAGUGGCAGAGCACAUGCUUAGCAUGCAUGAGGUCCUGGGAUCAGUCCUGAGUACCUCCA